GACGAACCGUACGAACGUUAUUCGGAAUUACUGGGCUUAAAGGGUGCGUAGGCUGCGCGGAAAGUUGGGUGUGAAAGCCCUCAGCUCAACUGAGGAAUUGCACUCAAAACUACCGUGCUCGAGGGAGACAGAGGUAAGCGGAACUCAAGGUGGAGCGGUGAAAUGCGUUGAUAUCUUGAGGAACACCGGUGGCGAAAGCGGCUUACUGGGUCUUUUCUGACGCUGAGGCACGAAAGCCAAGGUAGCAAACGGG
rnacentral:rRNA from 1 species